UACGGGGGGGGCAAGCGUUGUUCGGAAUUACUGGGCGUAAAGGGCUCGUAGGCGGCCAACUAAGUCGGAUGUGAAAUCCCCAGGCUUAACCUGGGAACUGCAUCCGAUACUGGAUGGCUUGAAUCCGGGAGAGGGAUGCGGAAUUCCAGGUGUAGCGGUGAAAUGCGUAGAUAUCUGGAGGAACACCGGUGGCGAAGGCGGCAUCCUGGACCGGCAUUGACGCUGAGGAGCGAAAGCCAGGGGGAGCAAAACGGG
rnacentral:rRNA from 1 species